UUGAGCUGUAUGCGGAGAAAUUCGCUCGUACAGUUCUUAGGGAAGGGCACGACAGUAAUGUUGUGUCCUUACCCGAC
rnacentral:ncRNA from 1 species